ACACUGACGGUGAAGUGGUAUCAUGCUUGCUAGUUAUCUUCCGUGAACAUUUGGCAUGAGCGAUUCAGACAAGCGGCAGAGGUUCGACUCCUCUUCAGUGUA